rnacentral:lncRNA from 1 species
CAGAAUCAUUUUGCUUGUGAUUUUCCAACAGUUGUGAGCAAAGCACAAGCAUUGAAAGAACUUCACAGACUCGCCUGUGUCAGUGGGAAGAAGGAUGCUGCACAAAACUUGACUACUCAGCUAUUUUACUAUCCUCGCGACUUGGCCAGUGAAGCAGAGUCGCAAGUGUGGAAGACAGAGCCACAUGGAGACCAAACUACUCUCCCUGGACUUAGAUUUGGGUGAGUCUAUGGGGACAGGUGAGUCUUCUGCAGCAGGUG